ACGCAAUAGAUACCCCGGUAGUCCACGCCGUAAACUAUGGAUGCUAGCUGUUAGAAGUAUCGACCCUUCUAGUAGCGAAAGCUAACGCGUUAAGCAUCCCGCCUGUGGAGUACGAGCGCAAGCUUAAAACAUAAAGGAAUUGACGGGGACCCGCACAAGCGGUGGAGCGUGUUGUUUAAUUCGAUGGUAAGCGAAGAACCUUACCCAGGCUUGACAUCCUUGGAAGGCUUCCGAAAGGAAUCUGUGCCCUCGGGAACCAAGUGACAGGUGAUGCAUGGCCGUCGUCAGCUCGUGUCGUGAGAUGUUUGGUUAAGUCCAUCAACGAGCGCAACCCUUGUUGUCUGUUGUAUUUUUCAGGCAAGACUGCCCUGGUAACAGGGAGGAAGGAGGGGAUGAUGUCAGGUCAGUAUUUCCCUUACGUCUGGGGCUACAAACACGCUACAAUGGCCGGUACAAAGGGCUGCCAACCCGCGAGGGGGUAGCAAAUCUCAUCAAAGCCGGUCUCAGUUCGGAUAGCAGGCUGAAACUCGCCUG
rnacentral:rRNA from 1 species